rnacentral:rRNA from 1 species
AGUAGCCGCGGUAAUACAGAGGGUGCGAGCGUUAAUCGGAUUUACUGGGCGUAAAGCGUGCGUAGGCGGCUUCUUAAGUCGGAUGUGAAAUCCCUGAGCUUAACUUAGGAAUUGCAUUCGAUACUGGGAAGCUAGAGUAUGGGAGAGGAUGGUAGAAUUCCAGGUGUAGCGGUGAAAUGCGUAGAGAUCUGGAGGAAUACCGAUGGCGAAGGCAGCCAUCUGGCCUAAUACUGACGCUGAGGUACGAAAGCAUGGGGAGCAAACAGGAUUAGAUACCCCCGUAGUCCCUGUCUCUUAUACA